rnacentral:rRNA from 1 species
GACGAACGCUGGCGGCGUGCUUAACACAUGCAAGUCGAACGGAAAGGCCCUGCUUUUGUGGGGUGCUCGAGUGGCGAACGGGUGAGUAACACGUGAGUAACCUGCCCUUGACUUUGGGAUAACUUCAGGAAACUGGGGCUAAUACCGGAUAGGAGCUCCUGCUGCAUGGUGGGGGUUGGAAAGUUUCGGCGGUUGGGGAUGGACUCGCGGCUUAUCAGCUUGUUGGUGGGGGAGUGGCUUACCAAGGCUUUGACGGGUAGCCGGCCUGAGAGGGUGACCGGCCACAUUGGGACUGAGAGACGGCCCAGACGCCUACGGGAGGCAGCAGUGGGGAAUAUUGCACAAUGGGAGGAAGCCUGAUGCAGCAACGCCGCGUGCGGGAUGACGGCCUUCGGGUUGUAAACCGCUUUCGCCUGUGACGAAGCGUGAGUGACGGUAAUGGGUAAAGAAGCACCGGCUAACUACGUG